rnacentral:ncRNA from 1 species
CGAGUCCCUGGAAUGGGUUCGCCCCGAGAUAGGGAUGGUGGCUCCGUAGAGCAGUGCGGUUCUUGCGCUGUCCGGUGCGCUCGCGUCGGCCCUUGAAAAUCCGAGUGAGGGAGUGUGAUUUUCGUGCCGGACCGUACCCACAUCCGCAGCAGGUCUCCAAGGUGAACAGCCUCUAGUCGAUGGACCAAUGUAGGUAAGGGAAGUCGGCAAAACGGAUCCGUAACCUUGGGAUAAGGAUUGGCUCUGAGGACUGAGCCGGUCGGGCUGGGGACCUGAAGCAGGAACGGCACUGCACCGGGACUGGGCGGGGCUCGCCGUUCACGCGGCGCGGCCAAGCCCGGACCAGCGUCGGGACCUUCCUGUGGAAAGCCUCAGCUGCGCGGCGUCUGAGGGCUUCGUGCCCAAAGUGCUAUGCUUCGGCCGGCAAAAAACAGUCAACUCAGAACUGGCACGGACCGGGGGAAUCCGACUGUCUAAUUAAAACAAAGCAUUGCGAUGGCCGCUGGUCGGUGUUGACGCAAUGUGAUUUCUGCCCAGUGCUCUGAAUGUCAACGUGAAGAGAUUCAUCAAAGCGCGGGUAAACGGCGGGAGUAACUAUGACUGAUUGAUGCCACAGUGAUCACCUGUGGGUAUCCGCUCCUCAAGGCCCACGAGAGUAAAGUGCGAAAGUACGACGUCCCCCAGGUCACCUCGAUCUGUAAGGGAAAGAAUACCGAGCACCCUCUCGUCACCAGCGCAACUCUAAACUUUCGAGGAGUCUGGUGCAAACAGAGCGCACAGGACCUGCUGUCGCUCGGGCUCACGAAGCAAGACCUGAAGAUAAUGACCGUCCGGUGUUUGCAGGGAGGCAUUCACUGCUUCAGGGUCCACCACGGGAUGACGUCCGUCAAGUAAACGGACUCUCUGGACGCGGCCUGAGGCUGACAGGCGACAAACGGUAGACCAGGAGUUAGAUGGGAACUCUGUGCCGGCACUUCAUUUCCCGGAACAACCCUUGAGUGGAUGCGCUCCAUUCGGGAACUUCCGGGAUGGUUGAAGCCGACACCCUGGUCUACAAGUCCUCCUGGGAAAGCUGGACGGCGGACUCAGGGGGCACCUUCGCCAGGUAGGCACACUUGGGAAGGUAAGCAUCUGGCCUGGAUGACCCU